CGGGUCCUAUGCAACGAUGGACAGGUGAACACCGCCAGGUCCGGAAGGAAGCAACGGUAGCUUGAUCUGCGUGUGCCGUAGGGUGCCUGGC
rnacentral:SRP_RNA from 1 species